UAGGGAAUCUUCGGCAAUGGGGGGAACCCUGACCGAGCAACGCCGCGUGAGUGAAGUAGGUUUUCGGAUCGUAAAGCUCUGUUGUUAAGGAAGAACGAGUGUGAGAAUGGAAAGUUCAUGCUGUGACGGUACUUAACCAGAAAGGGACGGCUAACUACGUGCCAGCAGCCGCGGUAAUACGUAGGUCCCGAGCGUUGUCCGGAUUUAUUGGGCGUAAAGCGAGCGCAGGCGGUUAGAAAAGUCUGAAGUGAAAGGCAGUGGCUCAACCAUUGUAGGCUUUGGAAACUGUUUAACUUGAGUGCAGAAGGGGAGAGUGGAAUUCCAUGUGUAGCGGUGAAAUGCGUAGAUAUAUGGAGGAACACCGGUGGCGAAAGCGGCUCUCUGGUCUGUAACUGACGCUGAGGCUCGAAAGCGUGGGUAGCAAACAGG
rnacentral:rRNA from 1 species